UAUUGGGCAAUGGCCGCAAGGCUGACCCAGCGACGCCGCGUGCGGGAUGACGCUUUUCGGAGUGUAAACCGCUGUCAGAGGGGAAGAAGCCUUCGGGGGCGAACAGUCCCCGGAGCUGACGGUACCUUCAGAGGAAGCGCCGGCUAACUCCGUGCCAGCAGCCGCGGUAAU
rnacentral:rRNA from 1 species